UUUAGAGGAAUUCCAUCAUUAAUUCCUCAACAUUUACCUUUUUCUUUUUUUGUUUUUGGUAUUUUUAAUAUUUUUUUAAUCCACUAUUUCUUCUUACUAUUAAAAUUAUAAACUAAUUUUUACAAGUUUAAUUUGGAUCAUUACCAUGGUCAUUUCAAUUAUUCCAAUAUGCCAUUGAUCUUGUCUUGUUCCUAAUUACCAUAUGGUUAUUUUAGUUUGAGCAAUAUGGUUGAUAGAAACAAAGUGUAAUAAAACCACCCCCUAAAUAUUAAAAAGUAAAAAUAAAAUAAAAUAAGAAAGACGUAGAAUAAUAACCGCCAAAUCGAUGCCGCGUGGCAAACAUUGAAAUGGAUAACUAUCCUUGUCCAAACUUUUCGAUUGUCAGGGCCAGCCAGGUUCAACACAUCAAGACUAACGACGUUGGCGCUUUCGUCGUAAAGGAACGAGCCCGCCUACUAUUUCCCUAGGAAAUUCGGUGGCGGGGCCCACCUCUUCUUCCCACAAGUCUCAGCAGCCGGUGGAUGGAUUUAAUGAUAACAGUAAAAUCGGUGGCAAUUUAUGUAAUUUGGCUGAAGAUCCAGGGCAGUACGCAUUGCUGUUUGUUCCCGAUUGGAGGAGGAUAGCGCACCACGAUUACAAAAGGAACGAGUGGCCUACAACAAGCGUAGUAGGUCGUGAUUGCUAACUCGCACGUGCACAGGCCAUUUCCAUCAUCUUUGCAAGUUGCAAGCUGCUGUUGUUCCAGUGGGCUAGCUGUGUUUGACCCAACUCAUCAGCCCAUUUAUGAUUAUACUCAAGGGUCCUUUCCUAUUGGCCCAAAAAAAUAGGUAGGAUUCAUGUGCAAAACCCACCAAAUUAUGAGUGAAUAGAAAACCUAAUUUACCAACGGACGAUGAUUAAUUUGCGGCAAAAGCAGGGUUGUUUCCUCAACAUUGCAUCCGCCUCACACGCUCUCUAAAUUAUUGCCAAUGCAAUUUCUCAUCCCACAUGGAUUCUAUUCAUUUUUGAGCCAGCCAGCGUCACAUUUUUUAAAUUUUUUUUUUAUUUUUUUUUAUUUUAUUUUUUUUUGGUUAACGAAUGUUUCUUUAGACCAGAAAUAGAUUAAACGGGUAGAUUAUGGGCUGUAGAAUACGAUGCAAUUGCUAAAACAGACAUCAAGUUAUUCUUUGAAAACCCCCCUGCAGGUUUCAAACCUAUGAGGCUCUGAAUUCAAGUUUCUCAUAUACAGAUCAACCAUUUCCCGGCGAGAGAUCAUUCUCGGCAUUAUUAUUAUUAUUAUUAUUAUUAUUUUAUUUAUUUUCCUUACCUCCUGCAAUGCUUUUUCGAUUAAAAAACUAGUUUCUAUUUAGCCACUUCAAAAAUGGGAGAACCUGCUAAAGAAACAGAGCAUGAAGUAGAGCAAAUUCAGGAAAAUGGAGAAAAGGAGCAGAAUGAAGAAUGCAGCGCCAAUCAAGUAUUCGAUACAUGUUUUCUGACCGAUAUGAACCUCCUAAUCGUGUUUUUCUCAUUGUUUUCCUCAUCAACUGAAGAAAGCCUAACUUUGUCCGGGAGUCAGAAACAAAUAGUAGAACAUCAUGAAGCUAAAGCCUACAUACCGAGACUACACACCAAAAGACGAGAAACACAUGAAACCAAGUUUGUUGGAAGAAGAACACACAAGCUCCAGACAAGUAUAAAAGAUUUCAGGUUAGUCUCUUGCCUACAUUUACAUGGAAUAUAGAUAGAGAUGCAUUCUGUUCUUCAACAUCAGAGUUUUGACUUGAAUAUUGAGCUUCAGGCAUGGCAAACGAAUGUAAUGCGUUAAUCUCAGCCAUGAAUUCACGGAGGAGAGGGAUCGCCAGAGAUGAACAAAAAAAUUUCCAACUUUCGUCAUGAUAAAUAUUGUACUAUUACUGUAUUUUUAGUAAAAUUAAGGUAUGGCCUUUUUAACUCUAUCAAAUAGACAUUUACAUUAUCAUCA